GAGACUCUGUGCGCGUGCAUAUCAAUAAGCGGAGGAAAAGAAACUAACAAGGAUUCCCUUAGUAACGGCGAGUGAAGCGGGAAGAGCUCAAAUUUGAAAUCUUCAAGGUUCUACCUUGACGAAUUGUAGUUUAUAGAAGUGUUUUCUGUAGUGGAGUGGCAAAAGUUCUUUGGAAUAGGACAUCAUAGAGGGUGAGAAUCCCGUAUUUGGUCAUUCUUUCUAGCUUUGUGAUACACUUUCAACAAGUCGGAUUGUUUGGGAAUGCAGUCCAAAAUGGGUGGUAAAUUUCAUCUAAAGCUAAAUAUUGGCGAGAGACCGAUAGCGAACAAGUACCGUGAGGGAAAGAUGAAAAGAACUUUGAAGAGAGAGUUAAACAGUACGUGAAAUUGUCAAAAGGGAAGCGUUUGACACCAGUGUUGUUUUUCCGAAAAUCAAUUACGAAUGUUUUGUUUUUAAGAAGUUAUGACUUCAUCGGCUUGCUUCUUUCUUUACGAAACUUUCUUAAUGCACUUUUCGGUUAACAAGUCAACAUCAAUUUCUUUUGUUGUAAAAGGGUACGAGGAAGGUGGCUUUCUUUUCGGAGAAAGUGUUUAUAGCCUUGUACCUCUGCAAUCGGAGAGAUUGAGGUCUGCAGCGUAGAUCCUUCGGGGUUAGAUACAUUUGUGCUAAGCUAUAGUUCUUUAUAGACAACUUGUUGACUAUAGUCAAGUCCUGUAGCUUACUCGCUUAUGCUAUUUUACCUACGCUUAGGAUGUUGACGAUCAGCUGAGCGCG
rnacentral:rRNA from 1 species